UUUAGUGGAAGUUUCCUGUUUUUGUUGUGCUUUUCUUACAUCUUUUGGGGAAAUUUCCAUAGCAUCGUAGACAUCUAAUGGUAGACAUACCGUUAUUCGGUAUUUUGGGAAUUGUACUCUAAAAGUGCCCAAAGCUACUCGCUGAUAUCCAGACCAGUGUUGUGCUACCACAAUGAGGAGCCACACACACUUAAGAAGUUUGUGGAGCUGCACAAAGUUGUGGUGCUCUGUAAUGUGCAUGCGUGGAAGGCCACCUUAAGGACACAAAGAAGGCUCUGCUGCAAGCUUGUGCAACCUAUCAGAUUACAGGGUGCAGCAGUACAUAGCUGUGGUUUCUAGAAGGUUUUGAAGAGGCAAUGAUUUGGCUAAAACUGACGGGAAGAGGGGCCUAAGAUUUCGUUAUGGACUCCCUACCUUUCCCCACUGUAAUCUGAGCACUGAUUGAUUUCAAGGCAAGUGACUUCUUUCGAAGGCUGCUUAGGUCUGGCACAAAGGAGCAUGAGUUGGUGAAUGCUUGGUUGUAAAUUGUGUGUUCAAGAGGAGGAAAUUUCAUGACAAACUAGAAACCACAAGACAAAUGGGCCUGCCCUUUCGGAAGCGGUUUCCAUCUUUGCUUGUGUGUCCUGGCAACCCGGCCGCUCUCAUUUAUCGGCUGCUGGCUCAGGUCCUGUUUGGGAAAUUCCAGAGGAAAAGCUCUUUCUCAAACCCGCUGUAAGAAGAGGUGGUGCAUUUCUGUUAGACAUGAAGGAAGCUUCUUUCUCAUGGUCUUUUGGCUGAAACGACCAAAUCCCAAAGGCAGCUUCCAGCCUGACCCGUGAUUACUGCAGGCCAGAUGCUUUAUAAAACUCCCUGCACAAAAGCAGGAAACUGAAGCUUCUGACAGUUUCUCACAUAUUUCAUUCUGCUGAGUGAGAGCAGUGCUCUUUCCGCUGACCCCAAUGAGGAGGAAUAAUAGUCAGCAAAAGCUUGGACGGUUGAAGGUCCCACAUGCAUUCCGUUGUAAGGCCCCAGUACAGCUGGAACUCUGCAAAGCCAAGAAGCACUCUGCAAAACAGAAACUAGGCCUGACUGCUUCUGGAUCUGUUGGCAGGUGCAGUCUUCAGGCCAGACCCUGUGCCUUUCACGGACAGAAGGUCAACAAAGGAAGCAUUGGUCUUGUGGUAGCAAGCAUGACUUGUCCCCUUAGCUAAGCCGGUUCACCCUGGUUGCAUAUGAAUCGGAGACUAGAAGUGUGAGCACUGCAAGAUAUUCCCCUCAGAGGAUGGAACCACUUUGGGAACAGCAGAAGGUUUCGAGUUCCCUCCCUGGCAUCUCCAAGAUCGGGCUGAGAGAGAUUCCUGCCUGCAACCUGACUCAGUAUAUGGCAGCUUCCUAUGUUCCCAUCAGUGCAUAUCAGUACCCUAGCCCCUAAUUGCUGCUAGGUUCCUUGAAGGAGGAACAGGAGUGGAUUAAGCUUUUUGUUGCCGCCUUACCUAAAAAAGAAAAAGAAAGCCUCUGCAUGACAGUGGCAGUAGCUCUGGCGGUGGGGAAGUGGCGGAGGGGAAAGUUUCCCCUUUUUCCCUGUAAAGAACACCUCUGCCUGCGACGGGAUGGGGCGCAGUUGCUGGAGGGAGGGAGGGGGUGAGGAGUGGAGAGUUUCACCUUUUACCUUUGAAAACGCCGGUGCACAGCAGGAUGGGGGUGGAACGAGCUCCUACCAACUCCCCUCCUCACCACUCCCCCAAUCCUGCUGUGCAGCAUUUUGCCACCGUAGGCAAAUGCCUACUCUGCCUCUCCGUUCAUCCGCCACUGAGGAGGAAUCUCUUCAGCCACCUCCUGCCACCCUGACUUCUUCCAGCAAGGAAUCACAGCAGUGGAGGCACCUGCACAGAGCAGGGGAGAGAGAGCUCCUGGCCUCACCUGGCUCUCUGCUGCUUCCACUUUCGUAGGUGCUGUGUUAUAAAAUUACUUUAAAAAUGCAUGUCAUUAUUAUUGGGGUGGGCAGUAUGAUUGAGCUUAAUUAUCCAAAGAGGGGCUAAAGAGCAUCCGGGUCCUGAAUCUUUUCUGUAGCAACGCCCCUGAUCAACACAAUAUAUAAAGCACAGUUCUCCAUUGGCUCACUGCCCCUUAUAUGUGGAAGGAGAGCAUUAAUGUGGGAAUAUACUGAUUUCUCUUUCAGAAAUCUAGUGUGGGAUUAGGGUUGUCACAUAUCCAGGAUUGUCCCAGACAAUCUAGGAAUCAGACAUCCUGUCUAGGAUGUAUGAAAAGUGCCGUCCUGGCUAUAAAAUGUCCAGGAAUUUGAGAAGGAAGGUUGCUGUAAUGAAUUUGACCCAUUUUUUCCUGGUGCUUUUUUUCUAGGCAUUGCAGCAACUUUUACGAACCAGAUGUCCUUAUCCUUUCUCAGGCACCACUGCUGCCAUCUGUAUGGGUCCGUAAAACCCAUCCCCUCGUUUCUGGAUCAUCUCUAGAAUUAGAAAGAGUUUAUUGAAGUGGAAAGCUCCUAACCUUCUCCCGUGCAAAGAACGCUAUAGGGGAAAAAUACACAGAAUAGCCACUAAGCUGCACUGCCAAGUACUCUUUCCAAUCCCAGUCAAAGAAGUGAGGUUUUAAAUCACCCCCACCCCCACCCACCGCAGUUGUGUCUAGGAAUUUUCUCUAAUGAAUGUAGCAACCCUAUGUGGGCCAAGCUUUCUUCCUCAGAAAUGCACCUUGCUCCUUCUGGGCCCAUCUUAAUCUUUUUCCCCCCCUUCUAGUGCCACCAAUAGAAGUAGCAUGAAAUGGCUUCAAGUUACUAGGUCUGUCCACAUGACCAUUUUGGAGUGGGCUGGAGAGCUUCUAUUCCAUUAGCAGCACACAAGCAGAACUUCUAUUUGGGUCAGCAAACCCAGAGCACACACAAUUAAGCUGAGCCCAGUGCUCAUUGAAAUCAGGAGCCGAUAGUCCUCCAGGGCCUCCAUGCCUUCCCAGCAUGCUUUGCACUGCCAGUAGAUUGGAAAGCCUCAUUACAUCAGCAACUGCCCUCUGAUUGGCCACAAAGGAGCAGGAGGCAGAUCCAGCCCUGCUGAACUGCUCCAGCUAUAGGAUUAUAGAGUAUUCUUUGCAGAGUGGCACAUCUAUGGACGGCAGCCUCUGUAGCCAUAGCUCUUUUUCCCCAGGCCUGCAGAAUUUCAGUGGCUGAAUAGAAAAGGCAGGUGGAUCCACACAACCAGAAAAGCAAGGAGAACCUCGAUAUACACGGAUCCAGCAUCUGCGCAUCCGCAGAUCUGUGGUCAGGGAUGGACCUCCAGGGAACUCUCACUGUAGCUGCCAUUCCGGGAGUGAUUAGUGGCUGAGGUAUCCCUGGCAACAAGGGACAAAAACACAUCUUUCCACUAGGCUUGGCCAAGGACAAUCCAAAGGGUAUGAACCUACUGGGACUUUGAGAUCAGCUUCACAAGCCCUGCUCUCUGGCACAUCCCAUCAUGAAUGAAGUCCAGUCUGCCGAGAACCCCACUGUUGUUUUUUUUAAAACUAUAGGUUUCUAGCCCUCAUUAUUAUGGAGAAAAAUUUGAAAGUUUAUCUGGGUAUCUGUGCAAGGCUUCCAGUGGCAAGGAGUAAGGCCUCUACAUUCUGCAUUUCAUAAUACUCUGACCCAUCUUUCCUUAUGACAUUCCUCCUAUGUUUUCCCCACUCUGUUUUACCCUACCACUCACAGCCAAAGGGAAUAAAAUAGAAAUUUAGCAAGAC